rnacentral:rRNA from 1 species
UACGAAGGGGGCUAGCGUUGUUCGGAAUUACUGGGCGUAAAGGGCGCGUAGGCGGCCUGUUAAGUUGGAAGUGAAAGCCCCGGGCUCAACCUGGGAAUUGCUUUCGAUACUGGCAGGCUUGAGUUCCGGAGAGGAUGGUGGAAUUCCCAGUGUAGAGGUGAAAUUCGUAGAUAUUGGGAAGAACACCGGUGGCGAAGGCGGCCAUCUGGACGGACACUGACGCUGAGGCGCGAAAGCGUGGGGAGCAAAC